CCUACGGGAGGCAGCAGUAGGGAAUCUUCCGCAAUGGACGAAAGUCUGACGGAGCAACGCCGCGUGAACGAUGAAGGCCUUCGGGUCGUAAAGUUCUGUUGUUAGGGAAGAACAAGUGCUAGUUGAAUAAGCUGGCACCUUGACGGUACCUAACCAGAAAGCCACGGCUAACUACGUGCCAGCAGCCGCGGUAAUACGUAGGUGGCAAGCGUUGUCCGGAAUUAUUGGGCGUAAAGCGCGCGCAGGCGGUUUCUUAAGUCUGAUGUGAAAGCCCCCGGCUCAACCGGGGAGGGUCAUUGGAAACUGGGAAACUUGAGUGCAGAAGAGGAAAGUGGAAUUCCAAGUGUAGCGGUGAAAUGCGUAGAGAUUUGGAGGAACACCAGUGGCGAAGGCGACUUUCUGGUCUGUAACUGACGCUGAGGCGCGAAAGCGUGGGGAGCAAACAGGAUUAGAUACCCUGGUAGUCCACGCUGUAAACGAUGAGUGCUAAGUGUUAGAGGGUUUCCGCCCUUUAGUGCUGAAGUUAACGCAUUAAGCACUCCGCCUGGGGAUACGGUCGCAAGACUGAAACUUAAUGAAUUGACGG
rnacentral:rRNA from 1 species